AGUGUCAAGGGCGUAUGGUGGAUGCCUUGGGAUGGAGAGGCGAUGAAGGACGUAGCAGCCUGCGAUAAGCGUCGGGGAGCUGGCAAGCAAGCUUUGAUCCGGCGAUGUCCGAAUGGGGCAACCCUAUGCAGUGUUGAACUGCAUAAUCUCCCACAGCAAUGUGGGCGAAGUAAACCUGGUGAAGUGAAACAUCUCAGUAACCAGAGGAAAAGAAAAUAAAGACCACGAAAAUUGAAACACGAAAAGACACGAAAUUAUUUCGUGAGUUUCGUGCCCGAUUUUUUGUGGAUAUUCCCCUAGUAGUGGCGAGCGAACGUGGAAAAGCCUAGAUCUUCUACUUUUAAGUAGCGAGGCGAGUGUUGCAUCGAAAGGUGUGACGCUACGUGCGUUGCGGAAGGCUCAAGGGCUACAUAAGUAGAAGAAGUUGUAAGUUUGUCAUGAUCGCUGCCUUGAAAGGCGAGGUAGGGUGUACAAAGCAUAGCUUCCCUAGUAGAAUCCGCUGGAAUGCGGAACCAAAGAGGGUGACAGUCCCGUACGCGAAAGGGGUUAUCGCCUUACUAUGACUAUACUUGAGUACCGCGGGACACGUGAAAUCCCGUGGGAAACCGGCGCGACUAUGCGCCAAGGCUAAAUACUCCUCCAUCACCGAUAGUGAACAAGUACCAUGAGGGAAAGGUGAAAAGUAGGCCGGUGAGGCCGAUGAAAUAAAACCUGAAACCAUACGCUUACAAGGAAUCAACGCCGAUGCGUAGCAUCGGGAAUGACGAAACCAGAAUGACGAAUGACGAAUUAAAUUUCGACAUUCGGAUUUCGAAAUUCGGAUUUCCGCUGCUACGUAGCGGUUAUGGUGUUCCUAUUGAAGAAUGAGCCAACGAGUUUGUUGCGCGUUGCAAAGUCUAAGUCCUACGGGACGAAGGCGCAGGGAAACCAAGUCUGAAAGGGCGACCCCGCUGAUUUUUUGGCGCUGAUUUCGCUGAUUUGUAUCAGCGUUAUCUGCGUCGAUAAAUCUGCGGACAAGCAGCGUGCACAAGACCCGAAACCCAGUGAGCUAACCAUGGACAGGGUGAAGUUUGUCGAAAGACAGAUGGAGGCCCGAACCCGUAAGCUGUGCAACACUUUGGGAUGAUCUGUGGUUAGAGGUGAAAUGCCAAUCGAACUGGGUAAUAGCUGGUUCUCCCCGAAAUAUACUGUGGUAUAGCCUCAAGGAUUGUCUGCGGAGGUAGAGCACUGAAUCGAUCGUGGCGGAGCAAUCCGUCGCAUCGAAUCAAACUCCGAAUGCCGUAUGAUGUACCUUGGGAGUCAGAGCAUGGGGGCUAAGCUCCAUCGCUCAAAAGGGAUACAGCCCUGAUCUUCGUCUAAGGUCCCAAAAUCGUGCCGACGUGAAGUCGGCAUCCCGUAUCCCGCAAGGGCAUCGGGACCGCUCAGUGUGAAAGGAAGUGGUGCGGCUCAAACAACCAGGAGGUUGGCUUAGAAGCAGCCACCCUUUAAAGAAAGCGUAACAGCUCACUGGUCGAGCCGUGCCGCGCCGAAAAUGUACCGGGGCUUAAGCGGCGUACCGAAGACAAGAGUCGAUGCUUCGCAUCGGGAAAUGUCUAAUUCACCUAAUUCACCUAAUUCACCUAAUAAAAUCCAAAAGUACCAAUACCUAAUAACCAAACUUGGAAAUUAAACAUUGGGCAUUGGAAAUUUUAUUAGAAAUUAGGUCAAUUAGAAAUUAGAAAUUCCGACGCGGAGCGUCGGCGGUAGGGGAGCAUUCUUGCUGCGUUGAAGUGGUAGGCGUGAGCCGCCAUGGAGCGGCAAGAAGAGAGAAUGUUGGCAUAAGUAGCACAAAUGAAGGUGAGAACCCUUCACACCGUAAGGGGAAGGUUUCCUGGGCAACGCAAAUCGUCCCAGGGUUAGUCGGUCCUAAGGCGAGGC
rnacentral:rRNA from 1 species